GUUUUGGCAGCAGAGUGAACAGCAGCAUGCCCCUGAGCUCUCCUGAUUUUUCACGCUUAUCACAUAACCUGUAGAGCUUUGCAACCAACUUUUUGACCUUAUAUGGAUGAACACUCUAGAUGUUAACAUAAGCCAAAGUCCUAAAUGCCACCUAAAAAUCAGACUAUAAGAAAAAUAACGGACAGAGGGAGGCUGUUGCGGCUAGCGCUAGCAUGGCUAACGCUUAUUCGUCGCAAGCUAACUGACAGUUUUUUGGACACACAGCCUCCACCCUGGUUUUUGAGAGAGAUGGAAAAAAUAACGAACGUGAUCCAGAACACAUUUGCUGCCCGUCUCAACCAAGUGGAUGAAUCUAUCGAGAAGCUGGGGGGAGGACUGCAAGCUAACACGGACAGGAUAGCUCAAUUGGAGCAAAAAUGCACUGAGCUGGAGCAGUCACCAGACUUCAACAAGACUACGACGAGUUGGCCCAAAAACACUCCCGGGCUGAGGCAGAACAUAGGGCGCAAAUCGACGACCAGGAGAAUCGUCAGAGAAGGAAACAUUUAAAGAUUGCAGGAUUCCCGGAGGGAGUUGAAGGGUCACCGGCCGUCCGUUGCCUGCCGGGGUCAGGUGCCAUUCGAUGCGGGGGGUUUCCACGUCCUGGGCUGCUUUGAGGGGUGUUUCGUUGGAAGACAUAUGUGCUGCGGCUUCUUGGGCGUCGCCUUCCAUGUUCCAUCGCUUUUAUCGCCUCAAUGUUGCUGCUCCCUACCCGCUGGGCGUAGUCCUUCGCCACGUGACUUCUGAUCAGUGAGGUAGGUCUGGGUGAUUCUUCGUGAUGUUGUUGGUAUGUGUCAUCCAGUGCUUAUGCACCACCUCUGGCAGUCAGUAGGGACGAAAUAGAACGAAAUGUUACAGUUGUAACUAUGGUUCUAUGAGCCCCGGAUGACAACCAGAGUGUCUGGUCACUCAGAAUCCUUGCACGCUGGCAAGCAGAUUUUGGGAAUAGAUCACCUGCUGACACCGGAAGAUAUAGCCUCCCGGAGUUCAUGCAGGGGUCACGGGUGACGUUGUUGAUAUUCGUACUCGACAUGCGAUAGCACGGGCGGAGUUAUCCAGUGCUUAUGCGCCGCCUCUGUUGGUCAUCCGGGACUCAUAGAACCUUAGUUACAACUGUAACUUUUCGUUUUCUGUGUUUUAGUUACGUUUAUGAAAUAUUACACAUUGUGUUACUUUGUUUAUUUGCAUGUUGUGUUACUUUGUUUAUUUUACUGUGUUCAUUAUGUUUAUGAAAUGUUGCAUGUUACCUUGUUUGCAGUACUUUGAUUAUUUCAGUCAGAGUUUAUGUUGAACUGCAUGCAGAGUUUUCAUUUCCAAACUGACACUGAACUGCACACAGACUCGCACCGGCAGCAAUCAGCGCAACGAGCCACAGGUGGUGGCGAGCGCAGGUGACAUUCCUUUUUAAGCAGCAGGAAAGCAGCAUGGAGAAAAGAGAAAGAAGGCAGAGGACCCCAGUGAAGGGCCGGACGGCGAGAGGAGACCGCCGCCACCACAGGAGAACAACCACACGUCUGAAGCGCAGCAGCCUGUGUCCGUUUGGCCUUGCAACUCCAGCCUGGGUGAAUAGCGGGACGUUAUUUCCCAGGCAAAACGGCUGAGGACGGCUUUAUAUUUGUUCCAGUGUGUGCUUUGUGGGGGACCUACAGUUGUCUUCCUUGUUGCCAGUGUCGUGAUGAGCUUUAGCCAGCAUCCUCCUUGGCUCUCUAUUUGUGUGAUUAUGAGUGACCUACAGUACCUUGCUGCCAGCCUGCCAAUGCCAUGACAGUUUCACCGCCUAUGAAGCUCAAACCACACACACCUAUGGUCAUUUGAAGAACUGAAAGAAAUCUGCCUUCAAAAUAAAUCAGCUAUGACUUGA